UUCUGACACUACGUGCUUCCGUCAAUGAAAAACAACAGGCAUUCGCUCGUGUAUCAAGCACGGCAAGUGACACCAUAAAAGCACCAAAACAUUGAAUAUAAAAACCGCUUCGAUGCCGAGUGUUCAUACUGGGCCUGUUUUCCUGGGAAGAGCCAUGGAUGACUGUAGCGGGAUGAACUCUCCUCCUCGGUCUUCCAGAUCUCGUACGCAACAGAGAGACUAGUGGAUGCUCGCAGAGUUUGUGCGCCGACCGCUGACGACAAUGUGCGCUAACGAGUACUUCCCUACUACAAUACUCACUGGGUGGCUGUUCAACUACUUCACUCAAUGCAUGUGGCUGUUCCCUCCCUUCUCGGAGAGUAUGGAGUAGUAAUGGCUGUCUGCGUGGGAAUUUGGGCUUCUACGGACGAAUUACUCCUGGAUAAUUCAAUGAAAAAGUUUAUUAUGGAAAAGCUUCAGCAGUUUACAAGCGGAAGAAUUUGCCCUAUGUCUAAUUGUCUAUAUCACGUGAAUAAUUUAGAUCGGCUAUGUAAUUACAUAGCGAACUAAACUCCACUCCAUGGUGAAAUAACUUAACGAUGAACUCCUUCACCGUAGAGUUUAGUCCGCAAUGUAAUUGAAUGAUUUAUGUUAUCCUAGGGUACUAGGCCUAAAUCAUAAUCGGGGCGCUCCAUAACGCCCCUUACCAUGAUGUUGACCUGCUAUGAACUUUAACAGAAAUAGCACCUCUGUGUUCCUCCGGCGCCCCAACACCCCAGCACCUUCAUAUAGCAGCCCUAGCAUCUACCUGUAACCAGUGAAGCCAGAACAUACAGUCAUUGGGAGACAAGGGGGCACACAAUUGUGUCAAUUUAUCAAAGACGCAAAGGAGAAAAAGAAAGAAAAAAACACUCAAAUGUGGUUUAAAACCAUUUAGAAGAACAGCCACUCUCCAGGGAAAUAAGUGAUAAAGAAAUAGCAAGAGAUGUAUCUAUUCUCUGUAUGUGUGUUGGUUGUCUGGGUGGAUUUUGCAGGUUACUACUCCUUUUGUCAGUGGGGUAAAGUAGUAGACAGGGAGAAUCAGAUCCAGCCUCCAAGAGGCCUCUUUGGUUUCAGGUGAGCGCUGUGUGCUAGCUGUCCCCCUCUCUCCUAUCUGUUAGUGGAGGGGAUCGUUUUGGAUCCCUCUGUGGGUGAAGUGUAACAGGAGCUAUGAAGGGAAAUCCAGACACCAGUAAGUUGUGAUCAUGGAUUCAACUUCAACUGGAGGAAACAGAGUGUUUGCACACUCACUGCAUGUAAACAUGGUACACUGCAUGUAAACAUGGUACACUGCAUGUAAACAUGGUACACUGCAUGUGAACAUGGUACACUACAUGUAAACAUGGUAUACUGUAUGUAAACAUGGUACACUACAUGUAAACAUGGUACACUGCAUUUAAACAUGGUACACUGUAUGUAAACAUGGUACACUGCAUGUAAACAUGGUACACUGCAUGUAAACAUGGUACACUGCAUUUAAACAUGGUACCCUGCAUUUAAACAUGGUACACUGCAUUUAAACAUGGUAGACUGUAUGUAAACAUGGUACCCUGCAUUUAAACAUGGUACACUGCAUUUAAACAUGGUAUACUGUAUGUAAACAUGGUACACUACAUGUAAACAUGGUACACUGCAUUUAAACAUGGUACACUGUAUGUAAACAUGGUACACUGCAUGUAAACAUGGUACACUGUAUGUAAACAUGGUACACUGCAUUUAAACAUGGUACACUGCAUUUAAACAUGGUACACUGCAUUUAAACAUGGUACACUGCAUGUAAACAUGGUAGACUGUAUGUAAACAUGGUACACUACAUGUAAACAUGGUACACUGUAUGUAAACACGGUAGACUGUAUGUAAACAUGGUACACUGCAUGUAAACAUGGUAGACUGCAUUUAAACAUGGUAGACUGUAUGUAAACAUGGUACCCUGCAUUUAAACAUGGUAGACUGCAUUUAAACAUGGUACACUGCAUUUAAACAUGGUAUACUGUAUGUAAACAUGGUACCCUGCAUUUAAACAUGGUACACUGUAUGUAAACAUGGUACACUGCAUGUAAACAUGGUACACUGCAUGUAAGGGACAAAUAUGAAGAAGGGUCUUCUGACUUUCUGAAAGGGACUAUUAAAUAAUGCUCCUGGCUGUUGGAGUGGAUGUAGGA